GUCCACGCUGUAAACGAUGAUUACUCGUUUCGGCGAUAUACAGUCGGAGACUAAGCGAAAGUGAUAAGUAAUCCACCUGGGGAGUACGAUCGCAAGGUUGAAACUCAAAGGAAUUGACGGGGCCCGCACAAGCGGUGGAGCAUGUGGUUUAAUUCGAUGAUACGCGAGGAACCUUACCAGGGCUUAAAUGCAAGUUGAAUGAUGUGGAAACAUGUCAGUCUUCGGACAAUUUUGCAAGGUGCUGCAUGGCUGUCGU
rnacentral:rRNA from 1 species